GGGCAACUACCACUCAGGGCCGGAAAGCUCUCCAAACUCGGUCAUUUAGAGGAAGUAAAAGUCGUAACAAGGUCUCCGUUGGUGAACCAGCGGAGGGAUCAUUACCGAGUUUACAACUCCCAAACCCAAUGUGAACGUUACCAAACUGUUGCCUCGGCGGGGUCACGCCCCGGGUGCGUCGCAGCCCCGGAACCAGGCGCCCGCCGGAGGAACCAACCAAACUCUUUCUGUAGUCCCCUCGCGGACGUAUUUCUUACAGCUCUGAGCAAAAAUUCAAAAUGAAUCAAAACUUUCAACAACGGAUCUCUUGGUUCUGGCAUCGAUGAAGAACGCAGCGAAAUGCGAUAAGUAAUGUGAAUUGCAGAAUUCAGUGAAUCAUCGAAUCUUUGAACGCACAUUGCGCCCGCCAGUAUUCUGGCGGGCAUGCCUGUCCGAGCGUCAUUUCAACCCUCGAACCCCUCCGGGGGAUCGGCGUUGGGGAUCGGGACCCCUCACACGGGUGCCGGCCCCUAAAUACAGUGGCGGUCUCGCCGCAGCCUCUCCUGCGCAGUAGUUUGCACAACUCGCACCGGGAGCGCGGCGCGUCCACGUCCGUAAAACACCCAACUUUCUGAAAUGUUGACCUCGGAUCAGGUAGGAAUACCCGCUGAACUUAAGCAUAUCAAUAAGCGGAGGAAAAGAAACCAACAGGGAUUGCCCCAGUAACGGCGAGUGAAGCGGCAACAGCUCAAAUUUGAAAUCUGGCCCCUCCGGGUCCGAGUUGUAAUUUGUAGAGGAUGCUUUUGGUGAGGUGCCGCCCGAGUUCCCUGGAAC
rnacentral:rRNA from 1 species